CAGCAGCCGCGGGAACACGGAGGGAGCUAGCGUUGUUCGGAAUUACUGGGCGUAAAGCGCGCGUAGGCGGUUACUCAAGUCAGAGGUGAAAGCCCGGGGCUCAACCCCGGAACUGCCUUUGAAACUAGGUGACUAGAAUCUUGGAGAGGUCAGUGGAAUUCCGAGUGUAGAGGUGAAAUUCGUAGAUAUUCGGAAGAACACCAGUGGCGAAGGCGACUGACUGGACAAGUAUUGACGCUGAGGUGCGAAAGCGUGGGGAGCAAACAGGAUUAGAUACCCGGGUAGUCCCUGUCUCUUAUAC
rnacentral:rRNA from 1 species